CUUGAACGCUGGCGGCAGGCCUAACACAUGCAAGUCGAGCGGAGCGGCGGACGGGUGAGUAAUUCCUAGGAAUCUGCCUGGCCGUGGGGGAUAACGUCAGGAAACGGGCGCUAAUACCGCAUGCUCUUAGAUGAGCGUAGGUCGGAUUAGCUAGUUGGUGGGGUACAGGCCUACCAAGGCGACGAUCCGUAACUGGUCAGAGAGGAUGAUAAGUCACACUGUAACGGUGACACGGUCCAGACUCCUACGGGAGGCAGCAUUGGGGAAUAUUGGACAAUGGGCGAAGUCCUGAUCCAGCCAUGCCGCGUGGGUGAAGAAGGUCUUCGGAUUGUAAAGCACUUUAAGUUGGGAGGCGUUACCAACAGAAUAAGCACCGGCUAACUUCGGGCCAGCAGCCGCGGUAAUUC
rnacentral:rRNA from 1 species